GAUGAACGCUGGCGGCGUGCCUAAUACAUGCAAGUCGAGCGAACAGACGAGGAGCUUGCUCCUCUGACGUUAGCGGCGGACGGGUGAGUAACACGUGGAUAACCUACCUAUAAGACUGGGAUAACUUCGGGAAACCGGAUCUAAUACCGGAUAAUAUAUUGAACCGCAUGGUUCAAUAGUGAAAGACGGUUUUGCUGUCACUUAUAGAUGGAUCCGCGCCGCAUUAGCUAGUUGGUAAGGUAACGGCUUACCAAGGCGACGAUGCGUAGCCGACCUGAGAGGGUGAUCGGCCACACUGGAACUGAGACACGGUCCAGACUCCUACGGGAGGCAGCAGUAGGGAAUCUUCCGCAAUGGGCGAAAGCCUGACGGAGCAACGCCGCGUGAGUGAUGAAGGUCUUCGGAUCGUAAAGCUCUGUUAUUAGGGAAGAACAAAUGUGGAAGUAACUAUGCACGUCUUGACGGUACCUAAUCAGAAAGCAACGGCUAACUACGUG
rnacentral:rRNA from 1 species